AACGAACGCUGGCGGCAUGCCUAACACAUGCAAGUCGAACGAGACCUUCGGGUCUAGUGUCGCACGUGUGCGUAACGCGUGGGAACCUGCCCUUAGGUUCGGAAUAACUCCCCGAAAGGGAUCCUACCACCGGUUAAUUUCUCCGUCCAAAAGAUUAUUCGCCUUGAAUGGGCCGGCGUUGGAUCAGCUGGUGGGUAGGGUAAACGACUACCAAGGCGACGAGCCAUAGCUGUUCUGAGAGGAUGAUCAGCCACACUGGGACUGAGACACGGCCGAGACUCGUACGGGAGGAAGAAGUGGGGAAUAUUGGACAAUGGGCGAAAGGCUGAUCCAGCAAUGCCGCGUGAGUGAUGAAGGCCUUAGGGUUGGAAAGAAAUUUUACCCGGGAUGAUAAUGAAAGUAACGGGAGAAUAAGCUCCGGCUAACUCCGUG
rnacentral:rRNA from 1 species